UAAUAACAAAAUUAAGGGUUUUUCCUUUUCCAACGUUUUGCUGAAAAAGCGAGAAAUCAAAGUAAAGGCAGAGUGUCUGUCUAUCUUGGUCGUCGAAAUCCAUGGCUUCUUCUCUUCUCAGGCCAACUCCAUUACUCUCUACACCUCAUAAAUUAUCUCAUCUUCACACCUCUCUCUCUUUCCCAUCCGAAAUUUCGACUCAGAGAAACCCACAUAAUCAUCUUCUCAAUCUAUGUCGUUCGUCAUCAACACCAUCACAGCAAAAGACCUCACAGAGGAAGAGAACAAGGUACAGGAAACAGUACCCAGGAGAAAACAUUGGUAUAACUGAGGAAAUGAGAUUCGUCGCCAUGAGAUUACGCAAUGUUAAUGGAAAAAAACUGGAUCUUUCUGGUGAUAAAACUGAACAAGAAGAAGAAGAAGAUGAAGUAAAGGAAGAGACAUGGAAACCGAGCAAAGAAGGCUUUCUUAAGUACUUAGUUGAUAGCAAGCUUGUCUUCGAUACUAUUGAACGAAUUGUGGACGAAUCUGAGAAUGUUUCUUAUGCUUACUUCAGGAGAACAGGAUUAGAGAGAUGUGAAAGUCUUGAGAAGGAUCUACAAUGGUUUAGAGGACAAGAUUUGGUUAUACCAGAACCAAGUAAUAUAGGAGUUUCUUAUGCAAAGUAUUUGGAAGAACAAGCAGGGCAAAGUGCACCUUUGUUUCUUUCUCAUUUCUACAGUAUCUACUUUUCACAUAUUGCUGGUGGUCAAGUUAUUGUAAGACAGGUAUCUGAGAAGCUUCUGGAAGGAAAGGAGCUGGACUUCAAUAGGUGGGAAGGGGAUGCACAAGACUUGCUUAAAGGCGUCCGUGAGAAGCUUAACGUGCUUGGGGAGCACUGGACUCGGGACGAGAAGAACAAAUGCUUGAAGGAAACAGCAAAGGCGUUUAAGUAUAUGGGGCAGAUAGUUCGCUUGAUCAUCUUGUAAAAAUCUCGGUUUAAAAAUUAACAAUUCCUAGCACCAGAUCUGUGUUAACUAUGGCAUUGGCUUACCACAGGCAUUACCACAGGCAUUGUGCUCUCGCUAAUUCAGGACAGUGCUGGAACUGAAGCUGAUGACCACCAGCCUCCAUGGCUGAAAGAGCAACUUUCUGUUAUUUGUUGGUUUAAGUCAGCGGUAAAGAAAAGCAACCGAAUUACUAAUUGAAAAAUGUAGCCAAAGGUUGUGGACUUGUGGGCUUGUGGCCUUUGUCUGAGGAUUGAUAUGAGAUAUUGUUGUUCCUUUUCUGGUAAACAUGUGAAGAUUUUGUUGUUCCUCAGUUUUAACUUAAAUUUUGGGGAUUUGAACACU